rnacentral:rRNA from 1 species
GAUGAACGCUGGCGGCGUGCCUAAUACAUGCAAGUCGAGCGCACGGACGAGAAGCUUGCUUCUCUGAUGUUAGCGGCGGGCGUGUGAGUAACACGUGGAUACCCUACCUAUAAGGCUGGGAUAACUUCGGGAAACCGGCGCUAAUAGCGGAUAAUAUUUUGUACCGCAUGGUUCAAAAGUAAAAGACGGUCUUGCUGUUACUUAUAGAUGGAUCCGCGUUUCAUUAGCUAGUUGGUAAGGUAACGGCUUACCAAGGCAACGAUGCAUAGCCGACCUGGGGGGUGGAUCGGCCACACUGGACCUGGGACACGGUCCAGACUCCUACGGGGGGAAGCAUAGGGGAACUUCCGGCAAUGGCGGAAAUCCGGCCGGAGCAAGCCGGGUUGGGUGAUGAAGUUUUCCGGUUGGUAAGACUCUGUGAUUGGGGAGAAACAGUGGGGGAAGUGACUGUGCACACCGUGACGGUACCUAAUCAGAAAGCCACGGCUAACUACGUG